rnacentral:tRNA from 1 species
GCAGUUGUGGCCGAGCGGUUAAGGCGGUGGACUUGAAAUCCAUUGGGGUCUCCCCGCACAGGUUCGAAUCCUGUCGACUACG